AUGCCCACUUUGACAAUAUGUAUACUAAAAUUGGAACGAUACAGAGAAGAUUAGUAUGGCCCCUGCACAAGGAUGACACACAAAUUCAUGAAGUGUUCCAUAUAUCU
rnacentral:snRNA from 1 species